GCUGCGCCCAGGGGACGCCCAGCCACAGACCCCUGGGCCCUGAUGGCUCACAUUCAUCUCGCCCCUAGAUGAGCCUGGGGGGGCCACCGGGCAGGGAGAGGACCUGUCCGCGGCUGGGGAUGGCAGCCACCGCAAGGAGGGAGAGCCAGCCCGUCACCCCCUGCCCGUCCAGGAGGACUCAGCAGCCCCCAGGGCCCGGGCAGCCCACACCUCUCACAGGCCUGCAGCCCCUUUCCCUCUCCCCGCUGUGUCUCUGAGAGUUUGUCAAGUGAUGUCCCCUGGCAGGGGGUGGGGGCAGAACACUGAAAUGGGAACAAGGAUCCCAUCAAAGACAAGCCCUACCGUCCUGCCCUAAAGCCAGUGCCCAGCUCUUCCCGCCCCUGGAGCCACUGGAGGGGCCUUCGAUUCCAUGAGGACCGAAGCCUGAGCUCUCCCUCGCCUUCCACCCUGAAACCCAGACUCCUGGAGCUGUGGGAGCAGAGAUUACACACAGGGGUCAUUCAAGACCUGCCUCCGCUGCUUACAAGUUCAGGACCUUGGGUGGACACGAGGACCAGCAAGGCCGCAGAGCCCUGGUCUGGGGCUGGUGCCCCGUGUGCGGAAGUUGGCUGGUAUCACUGUGGCGAUUACUGCCUGCUGACCGCUUUCCUGGUCUGGCCUUUGGGGCCGGGUUCGGACCCCAGCAGAGAGCUACCCCGUAGGUGCUCACUCAACCUGGGACAUGAACAGGAUGGGGGCAGCCCCAGGAUGCUGCACCUGUGCCAUCAGCAAACAGCACGGGUCCCGGGGAGCCUGGCAAGAUGCUUUUCCAAGCAGUUAGUUAGUUUCUCUGGGGACUUGAGCAUCUGUUCCUGGUGGGGCUGAGCAAUCAAGCAGGUCCUUCCUCCUCUUUCUCCAGGAGGCAGGGGCUGGGCCCGGCCUCCUCAUCCCCUUGUCCCCCCUCCCCCCCAGUUGUCCACCAUAAUUAGGCUCAUUGCAGCUCAGGAGGGGGCGUCCGUGCCCCUUCUCCACCCCCAGACUCAGGGUGGCCCAGGCUGGGGGUCUCCCCUCCCUCAAGGGCAUUGCUGCCCCUUCUGAAGGUGGGUGGGGCGCCCUGGCCAAGCCUGCGGCAGGGGUGGGCUCUUCUGUCCUCCUCCCAUCCCAGCCCCCAGCCCUGCCUGGGCCCUCGCUCCGUGGUCAGGGGCGCCUGGGGCUCGCCAGGGCCCAGGCAGGCUGCUCUCGUCAUUAGCGGCCGGCCUCGCUCCAAGUGAAUUAGCUGGUCCUCGGGGAGCGGGUGCUGAGGCCUGCAGGCUCCUGGCACUGGCCAGUGAUUCAUUCCCACAGCCUCACCCCCGCCUGAGGCCAGCGGCGUCCCUGCCCCCAGCCCACCGGCCUGAUUGGAGGCUGAGGAGCGGGAGGCUGGUGCCCAGAGCAGCCCUGGCUGCCCAUCCAUCUGCCCCCUCAUCCUAUUAACCCGGCUGCUCCCGUGCCCUCCCGGGUGGUGCUGGCCUCCAUCCGCCGGCCCCUCCCACACGCAGGCCUGGUGGCCCUGGCUCUGAGCCCGGCCCUGGUUCCGCCGACCUGGCCUGCCCCUCCAGGCUCUGUCUCUGCUCCCUUUGUCCCCUGGGCACCUCGAGUGACCCAGAGAGGCCCCCUCAUCCUUUCCCCCCUCCCUCUGGGCCUUCCUGCCCCCCUCAGCUGAGGCCCUGGGAUCCGCUUAACUGGUCUUGAUGAAAAACAGAGGCUCUACCCGUGUCGAGGAGGCUCCUGGUGACGGGCCGGGGCUGGUCCCCACCAGCCUGGGGCUGGGGCCCUGCUUAGAGCUAAGGUGGAUGCGAGGGCACAACCUUGGUCUCGGCCACAAAAGUCCUUAGGAACCCACUCGUAUCCCUUCAGGGACCCCCCCUCCCCCUUCCUUUACUCGGCAGGAGGUAGGCGUCCAGCAGCAGGUGCGAAGGAAUCGAUGCCUCCCCCCACAGCACAUGUGACGUCUCCGCAUCCACGCAGGUGACCUGCAUCUUGACAAACCUCUCUGGCUUGAAAACCCUCCUACUGCAGCUGCAGAGUGGAAAGCACCUGCAUCUCAGGGCCAGAGACCUGGAUGCGAGGGCAGGCCUCUUCUCUACAGGCUGGACCAUCACGCCUCUGAGCCAACAGGCCCUUGAGGUCACGUGGAGCUGAUCCCUCGCCCAGGCUGGCUGUGAGGAUUAGAGGCGUUUUAUCUUGUGCAGGGGAUGCGGGGCAUAGAGAUACCACCCCAAAGGCAGCCACAGAGGCCUCGCUCAACAUGCUCUUCCUGGGGGGGCCUCCCGAGCACAUAUGUGUGCAAUUUCCCCUUAUUGUUCUAUAAUCCUUGAUGGUUGCUCUGUAAUUGCUCUCAAAUGGUUUCAUUAUAAUAAAUAGCAUCUGCAGAGCAGUUGAUAGUUGUACAAACUCUAACUCUUCCCUCAUCCCCUUCCCACCUUUACAAAAAGGAACUGAGGCUCAGAGAAGUUAAUUGACUUCCCAAAGACCACACAGCGAGGAAGCAGAGCUCACCCCCCCGCCCCAGGCUCUGGGGCCUACUGGUCUCCAGGCCACCGUGUCCCCAGUUCCAGGCCGGGGAUGGAGGCACAGGGAGCGAACUCUGCAGGAGGCAAAGAGGGCCCGUGGGAUCUGAGGGCCGAUGGGGAGGUGGGCACUUGGCUGGGCACCCCGGCAUCCAUGCAGCGUUGUGUGCUCACCUGUGUGUGCAGGUGGGUGUUCAGGCUGAGACCAGGUGAUGCCUGAAGGGGACUUAUUAGGGAUUAUGCCUCCCAAGGGGGGAUGUAGGACUAGGUUAGUUCCACAGUCCCCUUCUGUUCUUAGGUGGAGGUGAUGUGGAACCUUCUAGAAAAAGACUGGACCGAGUGAAAUGCUUUCAUUGGAAUUGAGGGCCUUUCAGGCAUGUACCCAGAGAAGCUGUGAUAGAGAAGUUUGGUGAUUUCCUUAUGUUUGUCGUCGUUGUUUUGAUCAGAAAACGGAGGCUCAAGGGACGUAUGUGGACUUGUCCCAGAGGCACAGUGAGGCGAGGAUGGAAGAUGGGGACUGUGAAGGCAGGGGCCACAGGAGGGGGGCGCUUCCAGAGGAAAGGGGAGGGGGGCAGGCAGGCGCGAUCAGCGGGGAAGGCCCCCAGUCGAUGUGGAGCAGCCUCGUCAUCUCUGAGUCCCAGUUCAGAAGAUGCCUCCUCCAGGAAGCCCGCCCUAACUGCUCUUUCAGAGCCGGUCUGCUCUUUCCCCUGGGUUCUCGCUGUUCUGACCCUUGUCAAACUAAGUGUGGCCCUUCCUGACUGUGCUGCCUCCCUCACUGGGUGGGGAUCAGGGCAGGGAGCGUGUGUGUGUGUGUGUGUGUGUGUGUGUGUGUGUGUGUGUGUGUGUCUGUGCAUGCGAACUAACAUUUGGGAAGAUUUGGAAAUACGGAAAAGUGCAAAGGAAAAUAAAGCAACACCCUUGUCCCCGCAGGGACUGGCCUUGUGCCCCAGCCCCUAGAUGGGAAGGAUGCUUGCAUGACGCAUGCA
ensembl:lncRNA